GUUUGGCUAGUUAGUUAGGUCAGUCGAGUCGUAAAGGUUUUCUUAGGACAAAGCCCAUCGAGCUAGGGCAGUCGUUAGCUUAGUCGUUAAAGUGUCUGUUAAAUUAUCACCAUCAUGAAUAAAUAAAGUGCCUUAUAUUUUAUCUACUCUAUUCUCUAUUUCUUUUAUAUGUGUUUGUCUUCACAUAUGGUGCAGGGAAGUAUACAGGAAAAUAAGUGUGGGGGAGGCACAUCUCAAUCACGAAAUGGAAAUUCAGUCAGAAAAGUAGCGUAAUCCGGAAUACAAUCGAACCAAGAUCGCGCAUAGUAAAGCAGGGCCCACACUGCCCAGAGGUGGGGCCGGCCGAGGCCCUGUUCGCUCAUCUCCACUCUCGUUUCGGUCAUGGUCAGGUUUGAGUUAUUUAAAUUAUAAUUGCAUAUAUUUUAUCUGUGAAUUGUUAUCCGAAUCGAGAAUCUUUAUAUUACACAUUUUAAGAAGAAUAAACACCAUUUAAUCUAUGACUUAAAAAAAUAAAUUGUAUAACACUUUUCUAGAGUCAUGUUGUGAAAUUUAUAGUACUUCAUGUUUACUUAAGUUAUUACGGAAAAAGAGAGAUAGCAAAAUAAUGAGUACUCGAUUCCUAAAAAUUUGUCUUUAGAGAUUUUUAUUUUAAAAGGUAAAAACAAAUUAGCUUCACCUCUCUUUAUUGGAAUCAUAUAAUAAUCAUAUCAUUCAAUUAUUAUGACUUGGGUCGAGAGAUUUAUCAUAUUCCUAGUAUCAUAAAAAUAAAAUAAAAACAUAAUACACUCUCUUAAGCACUAUUAUAAAGGAGGCAUGAGCUCUUUAUAAAGAAAUCCAAGGAAAUAAAAAGGGACAAGUGUCCGAAACCUCAAAAAGAUAGAUCAUGAGGAAAUAAAAAGGGACAAGUGUCUGGAACCUCGAUCUGAAGAAAAAGAGAAUAAAAAAGAAGAAAGAAGAGAAAAGAAAGAGAGCUCAUGGUCCCUCCUACAUAAUAUGCUAAGAAAGUGGAAAAUUUGUCUGAUCUAGGAAUAUAAUAUUUCCCUCCCUGGUUAUGAACAUAAAAGUAAUGCCACUACAAUUAAGAGAAGGUUGAAGCUAUGUUUUAUUUGUGAACUUCACUCACUCUGUAGUAGACAAAAUUCAAGAAAGAGAGUAAUCUAUUUUAAGCUAUCCUACUCUGCAAUAACUAUAGAAUUCAUGAUGAGCACUUUAAAUUUCCAC
rnacentral:lncRNA from 1 species